UCUCCCCAAGAAGAUUACUGAGGAGUCCAAACACAACUGCAAGAAACAGCAUUUCUUGAAUUUGGAUAUUGGAAACAAUGAGCACAUCUGAAUCAUCUACAGUUCUCAAGCCAUGAAAGCAAAUAGCUUGCUACUGAGAGGGAAGGCAAAUUUCUGGCUGCUCUGAAAAGCCCAGGAAUUACAGUUUCCAUGUAAAGCAGGAGACAAUCUUGCUGCUAAUAACAUCACUCUCCUUCCAAAAGCAUGCAUGACAAAAUCCAAAGCAUUUCUCUGUUUCUUCACGGCGUCUGGCAGCAGCCAUGCACCACAGAGAGCUGCCUCUUGCAUGUGCAUGUAUCCUGGGCCUCACUGGCUUUGUCCAGAAGCUGGGGUGGAACCAUCUCCAUUGCUGAACCAGUCUGUCUGGAAAAUUUGUGUUCUAGCGGAUUGAAAGGCAGGCUGAACCCUGGCAACACCCCUGCUUUGGAUCUCUGCCUAGAACCUUUAUUUCUUCAGUGCUCUCUGGAAACAUGCAGCAGCUGCAGGCUUUCUGUAGGACCCCCACACCAGCAAUCUUCCCCCAGAAUGGAAGCACGUGGCAUGGCAAGUCUAAACCGUACUGACAGCCUGGAGCAUCUUAAUUUUUCAACACCGGAUUCUUUAUUUUGUUCCCAUCUUACAGAAACAAUAGCAGUCACCAAGCAGCUUAUUAAACCAGGGUCAAAUCCUGAAUAGAUGCUUUGCUCACAGCUUUGUUCUUAAUUAGACAAACACCCUCUGAAGUCACCAGAAGUGCCAAUCAAAGGCACAUUUUAUUUUGUGACCACAAGGAAAGGGAUUGAAAGAAUUUACAUCAGCUGCUGAGCAUAUGCUCUAAUGACCACCACUGGAUUAUUAGUAGUGACCUAGAUGUAGAAAGCUUUGAUCUUCUUACUCCUGGUUUAUUAUCCAGUUUCUAGAUCUCUUAAGGUCAACCAGAAUGAAUAAAAAUUAGGAUGGGUAGAAAUUGUGUGUGAUCCAAGGAAGAGGACCAUGAAAUAUCGAUCCCAGACAUUUCACUGACUAAAGCAGGCAGACACCAGUAAACAUGAUUAAUAAGAGCAAGCCAGGAAACAGCAUUACAUUUCAAAGAAGUCUAGGGGUGAAUAGCUUGAGGAAAUGAGAUACAAAGUCCUUCCCAUGUAGGUCACCCGUUUUAAUCCAACUCUGCUCAUAGCAAACUCCAGUCAUUCAUAUCUGAUAGCUGUCUGGCAGCCACGUAGAAUGAGAUGGUGGUCUUUGUUUAAUUGCUAGUGCUAUCUGCAAAACAUACAAAAUCAACAGAAUUGCAAUGCUGCAAAAAGUCUAAGCAGGAAGGUCAAGGACUGACUGGGCUUUGACAGAGGAUCUCUACCCCCUUACCAAAAAGCUUCAUUUCCUAUUAGUGUCAACCUGAUAUAUUUCAAGGGUAAUAAAUCUUUGUGGGUGAACAGAGGAUAAAGAGAGCAAAAAACAGUUCAAAGAGAGCUGUGGUACCUUUGCUGCCUUGAACUCAGACCAAGGGCCAGCUCCCCACUGGUGGUGCCAUGAAGUGCCAGCACAACACCAGUCCCCACUGGCCCAGGGCUGCUCCCUGCUCCUUCAACAAGAGCAGCACAAAGCCAGGACCAGCAGAUGCAAGGGCAGACACGUGGAGCCAGGGAAGGAAGGCAGAGAGCAGAUCACAGCCUCAAAAAAGAGACUGAGAUGGAGAAAGGUGCUCUGAACAAGCCUAGAGGAUGACAGUGCACAAGAUGACCUUAGCAGGGGUCUUUCCCCACAUGGAUCUGGCUUUCACAUCCUGGUCCAGUAAGAAUUUAAGAUCUGCAGUGUUGGUCCCACUCUGUCUCUCAAGGGCAUCACAGAGGGCACCAGGGCUGCAGAAACAGCCUGGCCACCUAUCACUGACCCAUCCUCAGCCCAGGGUCCCUCUCCAGAGUCACAGCAACUUGCCAGUUGAGAGGUACAGCGUGGGGAGAGGUUAAAGCUGGAAUUCACGUGAUUGGAAUAAAGGACCCACCCAUAAAUGUGGAGUAAACAGAAUUCCUUAUUGCUGCCUUUUCAAAGCCUUUUCUUUACAGUAAGAGAAAGGUCUGGAUUUCCAAAGCCCAUGUGGAAUACCUGACAUUCACCUCAGGAAAUGAGAGAAGAGA